CUACGGGGGGCACCAGUGGGGAAUAUUGGACAAUGGGGGAAACCCUGAUCCAGCAAUGCCGCGUGUGUGAAGAAGGCCUGCGGGUUGUAAAGCACUUUCGGUUGGGAGGACUGCUUCUAGCACUAAUAUUGUUGGAAGUUGACGUUACCUUCAGAAGAAGCACCGGCUAACUCCGUGCCAGCAGCCGCGGUAAUACGGACGGGUGCAAGCGUUAAUCGGAAUUACUGGGCGUAAAGCGCGCGUAGGCGGCUAGAUCAGUCGGGUGUGAAAGCCCCGGGCUUAACCUGGGAACUGCAUCCGAUACUGUCUAGCUUGAGUACAGGAGAGGAGAGUGGAAUUCCACAUGUAGCGGUGAAAUGCGUAGAUAUGUGGAGGAACACCAAUGGCGAAGGCAGCUCUCUGGCCUGAUACUGACGCUGAGGUGCGAAAGCGUGGGGAGCAAACAGGAUUAGAUACCCGUGUAGUC
rnacentral:rRNA from 1 species